GUUGUUAGCCCCCGGCGUAAAGAGUGGUUAAAAACACAACAUUAAACUGAGGCCGAACAUCCUCAAAGCAGUUAUACGCUCCCGAGGACAUGAAGAACAACUACGAAAGUAGCCUCACCCCAUUUGAACCCACGAAAGCUAAGACACAAACUGGGAUUAGAUACCCCACUAUGCCUAGCCCUAAACAACGAUACUACUAUACACUCCCCUAUCCGCCCGGGUACUACGAGCAUUAGCUUAAAACCCAAAGGACUUGGCGGUGCUUUAAAACCAUCUAGAGGAGCCUGUUCUAGAACCGAUAACCCCCGUUAAACCUCACCCCUUCUUGUUUAAUCCGCCUAUAUACCACCGUCGUCAGCCUACCCUGUGAAGGACUAAUAGUAGGCAAAGUUGGCACAGCCCAAAACGUCAGGUCGAGGUGUAGCGUAUGGAGGGGGAAGAAAUGGGCUACAUUCUCUGCUCAGAGAACCACGAAUGACACACUGAAACAUGUGUCUGAAGGAGGAUUUAGCAGUAAGCAAAGAAAUAGAGUGUCUUGCUGAAACCGGCCAUGAAGCGCGCACACACCGCCCGUCACUCUCCCCAAACCUAACCAACCAAUAAUUAAUACACCAC
rnacentral:rRNA from 1 species